rnacentral:rRNA from 1 species
GACGAACGCUGGCGGCGUGCCUAAUACAUGCAAGUCGAGCGCAGGAAAUCAUCUGAACCCUUCGGGGGGACGUUGAUGGAAUGAGCGGCGGACGGGUGAGUAACACGUAAAGAACCUACCCUCAGGUCUGGGAUAACCACGAGAAAUCGGGGCUAAUACCGGAUGGGUCAUCGGACCGCAUGGUCCGAGGAUGAAAGGCGCUUCGGCGUCGCCUGGGGAUGGCUUUGCGGUGCAUUAGCUAGUUGGUGGGGUAAGGGCCCACCAAGGCGACGAUGCAUAGCCGACCUGAGAGGGUGAUCGGCCACACUGGGACUGAGACACGGCCCAGACUCCUACGGGAGGCAGCAGUAGGGAAUCUUCCACAAUGGACGAAAGUCUGAUGGAGCAACGCCGCGUGAACGAUGAAGGCCUUCGGGUCGUAAAAUUCUGUUGUAAGGGAAGAACAAGUGCCGCAGGCAAUGGCGGCACCUUGACGGUACCUUGCGAGAAAGCCACGGCUAACUACGUGCCAGCAGCCGCAGUAA